CCUACGGGUGGCAGCAGUGAGGAAUAUUGGUCAAUGGGCGCGAGCCUGAACCAGCCAAGUCGCGUGAGGGAAGACGGUCCUAUGGAUUGUAAACCUCUUUUGUCGGGGAGCAAAAGACGCCACGCGUGGCGUUCCGAGAGUACCCGAAGAAAAAGCAUCGGCUAACUCCGUGCCAGCAGCCGCGGUAAUACGGAGGAUGCGAGCGUUAUCCGGAUUUAUUGGGUUGAAAGGGUGCGCAGGCGGAAGAUCAAGUCAGUGGUAAAAUUGAGAGGCUCAACCUCUUCGAGCCGUUGAAACUGGUUGUCUUGAGUGAGUGAGAAGUAUGCGGAAUGCGUGGUGUAGCGGUGAAAUGCAUAGAUAUCACGCAGAACUCCGAUUGCGAAGGCAGCAUACCGGCGCUCAACUGACGCUCAUGCACGAAAGUGUGGGUAUCGAACAGGAUUAGAUACCCUAGUAGUC
rnacentral:rRNA from 1 species